UGCUGCCCACACCCUGCUUAAGGGAAGUUUCAAACCCCCUAUAUAAACACAUGUAUAACACAAAGAAAUUCACACCAACUGUAGAUCUCACACUGCUCGACUGAAAACUGCAUUAACUUUGAGAAAAGAAGAUGAAGUACGUCCAACUCCUUGUGGUGUUGGCGCUGGUCGUCCUCAUGGCUGAACAAGGGGAGGCUUUUUUUCACCACAUCUUUGGAGGGAUUUUCCAUGCCGUCAAAGGGUAAGGCCUUUCACUUCUCUUCUUUAAAAACAAAACAAAAGGGCGGCAGAGGCUUAGUCUGUAAGGGCUUGGAGUGGGGGGUCCAAAGGGUCGCCGAUUCACGUCCCGAUUGGACCAAAAAAAUGGAGUGAGCCGGUAGCUGGAGAGGUGCCAGUUCUCCUCCUGAGCCACUGCCGAGGUGCCCUUGAGCAAGGCACCGACCCUGAUUCUGCUCGCUGGCGCCGGGUACCUGGCAGCCUCCCUGCUCUGCCACCUCUCCUGCAUGUGUGUGGUUGCUUGUGCAUGUAUAUCAUUGUUGCUUGAGCAUGUACUGUAUAUCCUCCGUGUGUGUGUAAUGUGUGUGUAUAACACCAGAGUGGGGAAAGACAUUUCCCUUCAAGGGAUUAAUAAAGUAUAUCUUCUUCUUCUGCUUGAUACUUGAUUCAUUCAUAAUAAAUAAGAGCUCUUGCUGCAUUAUUUGUGAUAUUCCUGAGCUGAACUCUAUGAAUGUCCUCUAUCCAACCACCAGACUCAUCGGGACUAAAAAAUAUGAUGCCAUGAUGGAGCAGGAAGCGUUGGAUCGUGCGGUGGAACGAGAGAGAGAGUUUGCCUGAAUCCACGACGGUCCACCCGAUGGAGAAACCCCCAAAACUUUGUUUCAGAUGAAAAUGAAUGCUUCUUUCACAGUAACAUUAAAACAAUUCAUUAACUCAACAUGCUAACCAUAAUAAAUAUGCACUGUAGCAGCAAAA